GACGAACGCUGGCGGCGUGCCUAAUACAUGCAAGUCGAACGCAGUGGGGACGGGUGCGUAACACGUGGGUAACCUCCCAUCAGAGGGGAUAACACUUGGAAACAGGUGCUAAACCGAUACUGAUGGAUGGACCCGGGGUUCAUUAGCUAGUUGGUAAGGUAACGGCUCACCAAGGCCACGAUGCAUAGCCGACCGUGUAGGGGUGUCGCGCACACGGGGACUGAGACACGGCCCAGACUCCUACGGGAGGCAGCAGUAGGGAAUCGUCGGCAAUGGACGAAAGUCUGACCGAGCAACGCCGCGUGAGUGAAGAAGGUUUUCGGAUCGUAAAACUCUGUUGUUAGAGAAGCGGUAUCUAACCAGAAAGCCAUGGCUAACUACGUGCCAGCCGCCGCGGUAAUUC
rnacentral:rRNA from 1 species